AAUCAACGCUGGCGGCGCGCUUAACACAUGCAAGUCGCACGAGAAAGCAGGAGCAAUCCUGUGAGUACAGUGGCGUACGGGUGAGUAACACGUGGGUAAUCUAACCUUUAGUGGGGAAUAACGCUGGGAAACCGGCGCUAAUACCGCAUAAUCUCGGGAGAGGAAAGCAGCAAUGCGCUGAAGGAGGAGCCCGCGGCCGAUUAGCUAGUUGGUAGGGUAAGAGCCUACCAAGGCAUAGAUCGGUAGCCGGCCUGAGAGGGCACACGGCCACACUGGCACUGAAACACGGGCCAGACUCCUACGGGAGGCAGCAGUGGGGAAUCUUGCACAAUGGGGGCAACCCUGAUGCAGCGACGCCGCGUGAGCGAUGAAGCCCUUCGGGGUGUAAAGCUCUUUCGGCAGGGACGAUA
rnacentral:rRNA from 1 species